UNGCCUUGGGAUUGUAGUACGUCUCUGCA
rnacentral:piRNA from 1 species